AUACGUAGGGGGCGAGCGUUGUCCGGAAUGAUUGGGCGUAAAGGGCGCGUAGGCGGCGCGGUAAGUCUGGAGUGAAAGUCCUGCUUUCAAGGUGGGAAUUGCUUUGGAUACUGCCGCGCUUGAGUGCAGGAGAGGUUAUCGGAAUUCCCGGUGUAGCGGUGAAAUGCGUAGAGAUCGGGAGGAACACCAGUGGCGAAGGCGGGUAACUGGACUGCAACUGACGCUGAGGCGCGAAAGUGUGGGGAGCAAACAGGAUUAGAUACCCUGGUAAUCCACACUGUAAACGAUGAAUGCUAGGUGUAAGAGGUAUCGACCCCUUUUGUGCCGGAGUCAACACAAUAAGCAUUCCGCCUGGGGAGUACGGCCGCAAGGUUGAAACUCAAAUGAAUGGACGGGG
rnacentral:rRNA from 1 species